AAAAAUGAUACAGAAGUUUCUGUCUAGACGAAUGUGGGUUCUCUGCAGCCCUGUUUAUGAGGUGAAGAGGCAGGGCUGCACCCUCUGAUGGGCCUUGUCUAUGAAAGGUACAUAUUCCGACGAGAAACCAGCACAACGACCACAACUUUCCAACCACAUUCGAGCAGUAGAUCCAAGUUGUAUGUGUGCGUGUACUUGAAGCAUUUAGAACCCUGCAACCACACCGAUGCAGGUGCUCAAAAAAGAAUUGUUGAAUGAACAAAAGGACAUCCAUCAAGACAGAGUGAUUGUCUGUACACAGAAUGCGGCAAAAACACAUGACCACGUGAGAGCAGAAGAACCCAAAUACAUGAGUUACCAAAGCAAAGGAAAUGCUAUAAAGAGCUUAGAGAACACAAGUUGAGAUUCUAUCUGUAGAAAUAAAACUAAAGGCGUUAA